CCGGAGCCCCGCAGCCCGCCGCCCCCUGCAAAGGCCCCCAUGGCCCUGGAGCAUUUGUUCUGCGGCUGCAAAGCUGUUUUUCUUCUCCCUCUACCCCUUGCCCGUUAUUUUUUUCUUUCUUUUUGGAAGCAGUGCUCUUUGGAGAUAAUAGUGCUUCUGGGAAACAAGGCUGAGAGUCUUGUUUGUUCAAAGAAAAUAUUUUUCUUCCACACACAAGUGCUAUGUUUAUGCCAUAAAUCGCCCUCCUCUGCUUCUGUCCUCCCGCCCACCUUUCUUCUGGCAUCUGUCCCCUCUUUGCGUUGGGCCCAGGCAGGGGGAGAGCACAGUCACUACUGCCCCCGCUGUAGGGGGGCUGGGGGCCCGGCGAUGCUCUGCUUGAAAGGGGCUGUACACCCUAGAGGCCCUCCCUGAUGGAUCGCAGCCGGGUCCCCCGCCUGCGUGGGGGGGGUUCUCCCCAACCCCAGGGCUGCCCGUCAGAGGCUUUGCGUAUGUUUGAGAUACUUGAGACGUGAUAGGGAGGGGUGUGAGGGGGCCUUGAGGCGGGGGACCCUCUGGCCUCCACCCUCUGCCUGGGCUUGGGGGCGCCGUGGUAGCGGAUCCCAGCAGUGCCACAGCCCCUUCCUGGCUCCACUCAAGGGGGGAGGGGCGAGGGCACCAUCCUUGAGGAGCAGCUGCCGCUUCUUCCCCCUGAACGCGAGCUUGGGGGCGGGGGUGUGGGCAGGGCUCUUGCCUGCUCCAGGCCCUGUGCCUGCCGGGCGCGUGGUGUGCAGCGUGCGUCUCUCCUGACCUCUCGGAGCCCACAGGCGGUCACCGUGCGUCCCUGCCUGCUCGCUGCCCAAGGGGCUUGCCUGCCCCAGGCACUUGGACAGGCCUGGGGCCUCGCUGGCCGUGGCCCCUGUGCCCUCCCGUGCGCCCCUGGGCCCUCCCGUGCGCCCCUGGGCCACACGCCCCGUCACCCACGCACACUUGUUUCUCUGUUCACCUGCUUGUUUCCAGGACUUGGCUGUUACAAAUAAAACCACUCAGAGCGUUCACGUGCCAGAUUCUGUGUGGACGUUUGCUUUCAUUUCUCUUGGGUAAAUAAAUAACCCUGGAGGAGAAUGACCAUAUCAUGGUAGGUGCCUGUCUAACUUUGUAAGAAACCGCUGAACUGUUUUCCAAAGUGACUGCAGCAUUUACGCGCCGCCCAGCUGAGUGUGAGCGUUCCCACUGUUCCACAUCCUCCACAAAACUUGGUGUAGUGACUCUUUCAUUUUAGCCAUUCUGGUGGGUGUGCGUAUCCCCUUGUGGGUUUUGGUUUUUUAAUUUUUACUGGAGUGUAGUUGAUUUAAAAUGUUGUGUUAGGGACUUCCCUGGUGGUUCAGUGGUUAAGGAUCCGCCUUCCAGUGCAAGGGGACGCAGGUUCCAUCCCUGGUCGGGGAACCAAGAUCCCACAUGCCGCAGAGCAACUAAGCCCGCGCCGCAAUGAGAGAGAAGCCCACGAGCCCCAGUGAAGAUCCUGUGAGCCGCAACUAAGACCCGACGAUAAAUAAAUAAUAAAAAAAGACAAAUGUUGUGUUAGUUUCAGGUGUAGAGCAGAGUGGUUCAGUUAUACAUACACAUAUAUCUACUCUCUUUUAGAUUCUUUUCCCGUAUAGGUCAUUACAGAGUAUCGAGUAGAGUUCCCUGUGCAGUAGGUCCUUAUUAGUUACCUGUUUUAUAUAGAGUAGCAUGUACAUGUCAAUCCCAGUCUCCCAGUUUAUCUCUCCCCCCUCUGCUUGUGGUUUUCGUUUGCAUUUCCCUAGUGACUAAGGAUGUAGAGCAUCUUUUCAUGUGCUUAUUUGCCGUCAGUGUAUCUUCUCUGGUGAAGUGUCUGUUCAAAUCUUCUGCCCAUUUUUUACAAUUGGGUCACUUGCCUUGCUAUUGAAUUGUAAAGUUUUUUUGUUUUUUAAUAGCUGAACAAAUCAUUUGUCACAUAUUACUUCUCUCCUGGGCAGUGACUUGCCAUUUUGGCUUUUUAACAUAAUGUCGUUUUAAGAGCAAACUUUAAAAAUUUCUUUUAAAUUGAGGUCCAAUUUACUGAUUUUUUUUUUCUUUUAUAACUUGGCUUUUUGUGUUGUUGUUUUUCAGAAAUGUUUGCCAAACCUGAGGCCACAAAGAUUUUUCUCUUAUGCUUUCUUAAGAAGUUGUGUGGUUUCAGUGCUUCCAUGUAGUCCUAUGAUCCCUUCUUUUUAUUAAGUACAUUCACAUUGCUGUGCAGCGAUCACCACCCUCAUCUCCAGAACUUUCUCAUCUUCCCAAACUGAAACUCUGUCCCCAUUAAUAACUCCCCCUCCCCCUCCCCCAGCUCCUGGCAACCACUGUUCUACUUUCUGUCUCUAUGAAUGUGAUACUCUGGGGACCUGACAUAAGUGGAAUCACACCAUAUUUAUCCUUUUGUGACUGGCCUAGUUCACUCAGCAUAAUGUCCUCAAGGUUCAUCCAUGUUGUAGCAUGUGUCAGAAGGUCCUUCCUUUUUUAAGGCUGAAAAAAACAUUCUGUUGUAUGGAUGGGACCACGUUUUGUUUAUCCGUUAAUCCAUUGCUUCUACCUUUUGGCUACUGUGAAUAGUGCUGCUGUGAACAACUAUCUCUUCAAGUCCCAGCUUUCAGUUCUUUUAAGCGUAUACCCGGAAGUAGAAUUGCUGGAUCAUGUGAUAGUUCUGUAUUUAAUUUUUGAGGAAACUCCAUUGUUUUCCACAGUGGCCACACCGUUCUACAUUCCCACCAACAGCGCACAAGGGUUCCAAUUUCUUCACAUCCUUGCCAACACUUGUUAUUUUCUGUUUUUGUUCUUGUUUUUGCUAGUCGCCAUCCUAGUGGGUGUGAAGCGGUAUCUCUUUGUGGUCUUGAUUUGUAUUUCUGUGAUGUUUAGUGAUGUCGAGCAUCUUUUCAUUUCCUUACUGGCCAUUUUUCUGUCUUCUUUGGGAAAAUGUCUAUCCAAAUCCUUACCCGUUUAACAAUCUUUUUUAGUUUUUUAUUUUUUUUCCUUUGCCCAUUUUUGAAUCCAGUUUGUUUUUGUUGAGUUGACAAUCUCUUCCUAAUCCUGUGCUUGACCACCCUCGGCGGUCCACCCCCCGGAAAUCGUCACCUCACCGCUGGGCUUCCCUCCCUCCUUCCUUCCGAGGUUGCUGGCUCCGCAGACCUCUAUUCCUGCCACCUUGUUCACACACAGGAGUCACCUCCUCCUCUUUCCCUGGUCCACGCAGGCCUGGGGAACUUCACUUCAUGCACUGGAGGCCAGAUGGGGUUUAGCUGAACAAAACACAAUCAGCCAGUGAGUGGGAAUCUCCACCUUCAUGUUUUUCCAUCUAACACGUUUAUUUAAUGUCAGCUAGGUGUGAGACGUUGAGCUCGGAUAUUCAGUUGUGGGCUAAAGCCUAUCUUCCAGAAGGAGCAAGAAGAUGCUGUGCUGGCCGGCUUCCAAAAUGGCGUCCAAUGUUCACUCCCGUGGGGUCCCCUCCUGUGCUGAGUAGGCCUGACCUGAGUUCCAGGAUAUUGCAGAAACGAUGGAGGCUAAGUCAACAAAGGCAUUCCGGGGGACUUCCCUGGUGGUCCAGUGGUGGAGGCUCAGGACUUUCACUGCCAAGGGCCCGGGUUCAAUCCCUGGUCGGGGAGCUAGGAUCCCGCAAGCCGCGCUGUGGGGCCAAAAACAAACAAAAAAGACAUUACAGCUCAGCCUCCCUCCCUUGGGUCACUUGCCCUGGGGGAAGCCAGCUGCCAUGUUGUCAGGGUGCUCAAGAAGCCGUGUAGAGAGGUCCACAUGGUGAAGAACUGAGAUCUCCAGCCAGCAGCCAUGAGGGUGACCCAUCUUGGACGUGGAGUCUCCAGCCCAGUCAAGCCUUUUGAUGACUGAAGUCCCAGCCGACAGCUUGACUGCAGCCUCGAGAGAGAGCCUGGGCCAAGGCACCCAGCUAAAUGCUCCUGGAGGUCUUCCGCACGGAAACUGUGUGAGGUGAUAAAUGCUUAUUGUUUUAAGCUGCUA